rnacentral:tRNA from 1 species
ACUCCCUUAGUCUAGAGGAUAGGCAUCGGUCUUCUAAACCGAUAGACGUAGGUUCGAAUCCUACAGGGAGUA